UACGUAGGGUGCGAGCGUUAAUCGGAAUUACUGGGCGGAAAGCGUGCGCAGGCGGUUCGUUGUGUCGGCGGGGAAAGCCCCGGGCUCAACCUGGGAAUGGCCGUUGAAACUGGCGAACUGGAGUGUGGCAGAGGGGGGUGGAAUUCCGCGUGUAGCAGUGAAAUGCGUAGAGAUGCGGAGGACCACCGAUGGCGAAGGCAGCCCCCUGGGCUGACACUGACGCUCAGGCACGAAAGCGUGGGGAGCAAACAGG
rnacentral:rRNA from 1 species